AGGUGGGGCCGGCGAUUGGGACGAAGUCGUAACAAGGUAGCCGUACCGGAAGGUGCGGCUGGAUCACCUCCUUUCUAAGGAGCA
rnacentral:rRNA from 1 species